rnacentral:rRNA from 1 species
UACGUAGGGGGCAAGCGUUGUCCGGAUUUAUUGGGCGUAAAAGGCUUGUAGGUGGCCACGCCAAGUCGGAUGUGAAAUCUCCCGGCUCAACUGGGAGGGGGUCAUUCGAUACUGGUGGGCUCGAGGCCGGUAGGGGGGAAGCGGAAUUCCCGGUGUAGUGGUGGAAUGCGUAGAUAUCGGGAGGAAACACCAGUGGCGAAGGGCGGCUUCCUGGACCGGUU